UACAGAGGGUGCAAGCGUUAAUCGGAAUUACUGGGCGUAAAGCGUGCGCAGGCGGUCUUGUAAGACAGAGGUGAAAUCCCCGGGCUCAACCUGGGAACGGCCUUUGUGACUGCAAGGCUGGAGUGCGGCAGAGGGGGAUGGAAUUCCGCAUGUAGCAGUGAAAUGCGUAGAUAUGCGGAGGAACACCGAUGGCGAAGGCAAUCCCCUGGGCCUGCACUGACGCUCAUGCACGAAAGCGUGGGGAGCAAACAGG
rnacentral:rRNA from 1 species